rnacentral:rRNA from 1 species
AUUGAACGCUGGCGGCAUGCCUUACACAUGCAAGUCGAACGGCAGCACGGGUGCUUGCACCUGGUGGCGAGUGGCGAACGGGUGAGUAAUACAUCGGAACAUGUCCUGUAGUGGGGGAUAGCCCGGCGAAAGCCGGAUUAAUACCGCAUACGAUCUACGGAUGAAAGCGGGGGACCUUCGGGCCUCGCGCUAUCGGGUUGGCCGAUGGCUGAUUAGCUAGUUGGGGGGGUAAAGGCCUACCAAGGCGACGAUCAGUAGCUGGUCUGAGAGGACGACCAGCCACACUGGGACUGAGACACGGCCCAGACUCCUACGGGAGGCAGCAGUGGGGAAUUUUGGACAAUGGGCGAAAGCCUGAUCCAGCAAUGCCGCGUGUGUGAAGAAGGCCUUCGGGUUGUAAAGCACUUUUGUCCGGAAAGAAAUCCUUGGCCCUAAUACGGUCGGGGGAUGACGGUACCGGAAGAAUAAGCACCGGCUAACUACGUG